rnacentral:rRNA from 1 species
AUGAUGGAGAAGUACUUGGAAAUAAGGGCGAAGCAAGUGGAGGAUGAGAGGAAUAAGCCAAGGGUUGUGGAUGAGUACUCUAUCAAGAACUGCACUGAUCUGCUGAAAACAAUGGACAUCACACCUGAAGAAGAAGUCAAGGCUUUCCGAGUCUUCAAGAUCCCUGAGUGUUAG